rnacentral:rRNA from 1 species
GUCGACGGUAGAGGGGGCAACCCCUUGAGAGUGGCGAACGGGUGAGUAAUAUAUCGGAACGUGCCCAGUCGUGGGGGAUAACGUAGUGAAAAUUACGCUAAUACCGCAUACGAUCUAAGGAUGAAAGCGGGGGAUCGCAAGACCUCGCGCGAUUGGAGCGGCCGAUAUCAGAUUAGGUAGUUGGUGGGGUAAAGGCUCACCAAGCCAACGAUCUGUAGCUGGUCUGAGAGGACGACCAGCCACACUGGAACUGAGACACGGUCCAGACUCCUACGGGAGGCAGCAGUGGGGAAUUUUGGACAAUGGACGCAAGUCUGAUCCAGCCAUUCCGCGUGCAGGAUGAAGGCCCUCGGGUUGUAAACUGCUUUUGUACGGAACGAAAAGGUCUCUAUUAAUACUAGGGGCUCAUGACGGUACCGUAAGAAUAAGCACCGGCUAACUACGUGCCAGCAGCCGCGGUAAUACGUAGGGUGCAAGCGUUAAUCGGAAUUACUGGGCGUAAAGCGUGCGCAGGCGGUUAUGUAAGACAGAGGUGAAAUCCCCGGGCUCAACCUGGGAACUGCCUUUGUGACUGCAUAGCUAGAGUACGGUAGAGGGGGAUGGAAUUCCGCGUGUAGCAGUGAAAUGCGUAGAUAUGCGGAGGAACACCGAUGGCGAAGGCAAUCCCCUGGACCUGUACUGACGCUCAUGCACGAAAGCGUGGGGAGCAAACAGGAUUAGAUACCCUGGUAGUCCACGCCCUAAACGAUG